rnacentral:lncRNA from 1 species
GCAAGCUGUGAUCCUCAAUCUAUACUUCCAACUUGUUGUGAAACAUCUAUUGCUAGUGUCUCUGCAAGCCCUUUCGAAUGCUUAAGAAGUUCCAGUUCAACCCCGCUUAUAGAUUAUGAGGCUAUGCUGUAAUCCGCACCGAUGUCCCUUGGCCGCUUGUCGAUACUCCUCUUAUCCCUGUCGAUAGGUCCCCAGUUAUCACAGAAACCCUAAACAUCCCCCGAUUUGCCAAAUCCCAAAACCUCUUUAAACUAUUG